rnacentral:rRNA from 1 species
ACGCUCGACACCUACGAGAGGCAGCAGUGGGGAAUAUUGCACAAUGGGGAAACCCUGAUGCAGCGACGCCGCGUGGAGGAAGAAGGUCUUCGGAUUGUAAACUCCUGUUGUUGGGGAAAAANGGAUGGUACCCAACAAGGAAGUGACGGCUAACUACGUGCCAGCAGCCGNGUAAUCNGAGCGGCUGGCAAGGC